rnacentral:rRNA from 1 species
UACGUAGGGUGCAAGCGUUAAUCGGAAUUACUGGGCGUAAAGCGUGCGCAGGCGGUUGUGUAAGACAGAUGUGAAAUCCCCGGGCUCAACCUGGGAACUGCAUUUGUGACUGCACAGCUGGAGUGCGGCAGAGGGGGAUGGAAUUCCGCGUGUAGCAGUGAAAUGCGUAGAGAUCGGGAGGAACACCAGUGGCGAAGGCGGCUACCUGGACCAGCACUGACACUGAGGCACGAAAGCGUGGGGAGCAAACAGG